AAUAUUCCUUUAAAUUUAUUCUUCUUAUGUCAUCAUUGUAGAACUUUUUUAUGUGACAUUUUAGGUAAAAGUAUGGCAAAUAUAGAAGUUUAAAAGCAGCUGUCACACACAUUUUCACUAAGUGCAGUUUGCAGCUUGAUAAAGGAAGUCCUAUGUGGAGAUAUUAAUAAGCUUGAAUGUAGUAUCGGAAGUUUAUAAUGCAUGGCUAGGGAACUGAGGCUAAGGGAGUUAUGUGCUGUGCAUGAUGAGAACUCAAUGCUCAUUAAUGCUGUUAAUGUUUAUAAAUAAAUUAAUUAAACCAAUAGCAUUGUUUUUUAGGUUUCACUGUACAUUUUCAUACCAAUAGAAUUACACAUCAUUCUAAUUAUAGCAAUAAUAAAUUUGUACUAAUCAUACCUACAAAUUUUGUUAUGCUAUGCUUUGUGAUGUAUUAACUUCAUUGUAAGUUAUUAUUUAAAGACAAUUUUACUAAAUAUUUAAAACAAUACUUGAAUUAUUUUCUAUAUACAUUUUCAUUAUGUGCUUUAACUGUAGCUGACCAGUUGAUGGAAGAUACUGCAGAGUUUGGCAGGGAAAUAACCCAAGACAGCAAAGCGGCUCUUUUGGCGCAUUUACCAAGAGGACUAACAUGGCCACAAAUUCAUGAGAUCAUGCAGGAGCCGUACAGUAUAACAGCAGUACAAGUUCUAUAAAAGAUCCACGACCUACUGAAGCCCAGCUAAUUAACAAAAAAGUUUUUAAAAACUGUAAUUUUAUCCCACCUGGGUACUUAUAAUUUACUAAGCUGCCUUCACAAGUUUUAGACUUGCAAUUAUAUUUUAAACUGUCACUUGGAAAGUAAUACAUGUACAUGCAUUCAUGUUCUGAAUUUCUUUGAACAAUAAAAUUAUAUAAAAGUAUUUUAAUGAAAUUGAGCACCUAAAUUGCAUUAAAGUGAAAGUAGCUGAGAAAAAUAGUAUCCUUAAUUGUUCUCAUGGGCAGCUACAUAUAUUGUGACAAACAUGAAGUAGCUAAAAUAACUUAAAUUUUUCAUUUUGUUUCUUGUAUAUCGUUUGUACAGGGUUCAUGAAUUGUUACUGUAUAUUACUUGACUUGCUUGUAUUUUGUUACUUUGAAUACAUGUUGUUAAGGUUGCAUUAUACUUUUUAACUUUUAAAGUAGCGCCUGUUCUGUUAUGUAAGGGCCUGAUUUAUGAUAAUGGACCUAGAGGCUUUGUAAGCAUGUAUUAAACAACACUUGUUUGAUCUGAAUAAUUUGUUAAAUAAAUGUAACACAAUUUGUAAUCUGAUGUUAUAUUUUGAUGAAUUGUGAACAAAAUAAUACAUCGAAGAAACUAA